rnacentral:rRNA from 1 species
AGAAUCAACGCUGGCGGCGUGCCUAACACAUGCAAGUCGAACGAGAAAGUGGAGCAAUCCACGAGUAAAGUGGCGCACGGGUGAGUAACACGUGACUAACCUACCCUUGAGUGGGGAAUAACUGAGGGAAACCUUAGCUAAUACCGCAUAACACCUACGGGUCAAAGGAGCAAUUCGCUUAAGGAGGGGGUCGCGGCAGAUUAGUUAGUUGGCGGGGUAAUGGCCCACCAAGACAGUGAUCUGUAUCCGGCCUGAGAGGGCGCACGGACACACUGGAACUGAAACACGGUCCAGACUCCUACGGGAGGCAGCAGUGGGGAAUUUGCGCAAUGGGGGAAACCCUGACGCAGCAACGCCGCGUGGAGGAUGAAGACCCUUGGGUCGUAAACUCCUUUCGAUCGGGACGAUUAUGACGGUACCGGAAGAAGAAGCCCGGCUAACUUCGCGCCAGCAGCCGC